rnacentral:snRNA from 1 species
GUGCUUGCUUUAGCAGCACGUAUACUAAAAUUGGGACAAUACAGAUAAGCAUGACCCCUGUGCAAGUAUGACAUGCAAAUUCAUGAAGCAUUCCAUAUUUUU